GCUAUGAUGUUAUCCUGAAUUCAGACAACCAUCAUUCAUACCAUUCCUUGUUAGCAUUUCAAAUUAAGGAGUCAACUGAAUGAGAAAUUUGUCCUCACAUGGAAGACAAGCAUCCCAUAAGCUUCAUCAAUUCUGCAACUUGUUAAAGCAGGUCAUAUGUCGCAGCAUCUUACACAAUGGAGGCAAUGGAGGCAGUUUCCAAGAAAGAAUGCAGUCUAGUAUAAACUGUGACAGGCCCUAGAUAACUUGAAAGUCUGCUUUACACAAAAGAUAAAGAUAAGAACCUCUCUGCUUGGUAAUAGGUACUUUGGUAGAUCAUAAGUAUACAAAUUAUGAACAAUUUAAAGUCAUCAUGAUAAAUAGGUAGAGGCUAUUAAAAAAGUAAAAUAUAAACCAUGGAAAGGUCGCGUCCCAUUUUUAGAAAAGUGUAAUUUAUACCAGUUGCAAUUGAUAACUUAACAUUGGUAUAAAUGUUUAGUGAUAACACUUAUUUUAUGAUUUAGCUAAAGGUUUA